CACCGCGGUUAUACGAGAGGCUCCAGUUGAUGAACACGGCGUAAAGGGUGGUUAAGGAAAGUAAAUGUUUAAAGCCAAAGGGCCUCUUGGCCGUCAUACGCUCCUGAGUAUCCGAAGCCCAAUAAACGAAAGUAGCUUUAACCUAGCCCACCUGACUCCACGAAAACUGAGAAA
rnacentral:rRNA from 1 species